rnacentral:rRNA from 1 species
GACGAACGCUGGCGGCGUGCCUAACACAUGCAAGUCGAGCGAUGAACCCUUCGGGGGGAUUAGCGGCGGACGGGUGAGUAACACGUGGGUAACCUACCUCAAAGAGGGGGAUAGCCUCCCGAAAGGGAGAUUAAUACCGCAUAAUAUACUUUGAUCGCAUGGUCGAAGUAUUAAAAGAGUCGCCAUUUAUGGCGUAUCUGCUUUGAGAUGGACCCGCGGCGCAUUAGCUAGUUGGUGAGGUAACGGCUCACCAAGGCGACGAUGCGUAGCCGACCUGAGAGGGUGAUCGGCCACAGUGGAACUGAGACACGGUCCAGACUCCUACGGGAGGCAGCAGUGGGGAAUAUUGCACAAUGGGCGAAAGCCUGAUGCAGCAACGCCGCGUGAGUGAUGAAGGCCUUCGGGUUGUAAAGCUCUGUCUUCUGGGACGAUAAUGACGGUACCAGAGGAGGAAGCCACGGCUAACUACGUGCCAGCCGCCGCGGUAACAC